UCUAUUUCUUUUUUUCUUCUUUUUUUCAAGGAUCAAGACUUAAGCAGUUGGAAGAUUGUGCGCUGAACAUACAGCAGAUGGGAUCCACCAGGGAGCAGAACCAUCCAUGAGAAACUGACCAUGGAGGGACCAGACAGUGUAGGACCCAGCCAUCCACAGAUGGAUAUACAUGUACAUCACCCGACUGCAACAAUUCUAGAAACACAGUGUGUGAAAAUGUAAGAUUUGCAAUGUUAUCUUUUCAAGAGUCAGAAAUAAGUCAGAAAUCCCAGAGAAGUUUGGUUGUUUUGCACACUCUCUGGUGUACGUCCCCCAAUUGUUUGCCUUCAUAAACGAGAGGUUUUUAGGGGUCGUGUAGCUUGCAAACAACCUAGUUUGAACGAAUCAUAUGAAGGACUAUUAUAGCUUGUACAGAAAUUCUAUUUGCUUUACUUUUGCUUUCUUUGACUCUAUUAGCUCACUAGUGUGAUUUUAGAAAUAAAGGUAACCAUUAUGAUAAUCAUAGUAAUGUAUAGCUUAUUCAAUGUAUGGUUUCAUAGUUUAUGUGAGUGUAAAUAUGGCCAUGUUGAUUUGAUUAUAUGGAUGACAUCUGUUAGUGCAUCGGUUUUCGUUCAUUCCCAAAAGAAGUUUACGACAAUCAUACAAAACAUCUGCAAACUGAGCAAGCGUACUCCGUAAAUUGAUUAUGUCGUAAAAUUUACCAACUUUGUCGAUAGAGGAAGAGAGACAGGGCUUGCAGCAGAGGCUGACAUCCAUAUAAUCAAAUCAGAUCAAACUGGCCUAGUAUAGCUUAAUCAAUAUAUAAGGCCACACCAAUUUAAUUUGUUGGUUCUCAGAUUUUCUUAGAAAAAAAUAUGAAGAGACGGCGAAACAAAAUAAAAAAAAUAAAAACAGAUGUAGGCACCCUAUUUUGCCCCAAAUGCUACGAUAGGAGCCAUUAAGUCAACACAGAAGGCUGGGUUAAAAUUCAAACAAUGAAUUUUUAACUUUUCAUCAAACCACUGAAUUCAUAUAGAAGGAAAAGCUAUAACAACUAGGAAGAAAAGAACUUUCCUCAACUGGUUGGGGGCAUUGAGCAUUUUUGAGUUGAUUCAGAACCAGAAUCUUUUUUUUUGCAAAUCAAAAUAAUGAAGAGGCGAAUCCGAGAACCAACACAUUAAAAUGGUGUGGCCUAAGUACAGGUUUCUAGUAUUUGUAAGUCGUGUGUAGUUUAUUCAUUCAAUCUGUUUGUAUGGUUUCAAAGUAUAUAUAGAUCAUGUCGGUAUAGUCUCCAAUUCUGUGCAAUUAGAGCUUCAGAGUAGUUACACUCUUGUCAUUAGGCCACAAGAAGUAAAUUUUAUGGAUGACAUCCUCCGCAAACUCCAAAUCUAAUGCGAGCGGGCGAAAAAAACAAGGCGGGCCGAAAAAAAAGGUUCCUACAAUGUAAAAUUUUGACUCAAUCAUUGUACAAAUGGUUUUGAUCCAGUAGGAACAUCACAUAUACACAGUCAACAUCACAUAUCACUGCAUCAAAGUAAGAAACAAAACAUUAAAUCAGAGCCUUUUCUUGUCUCCUCUCUUCAUGGUUAUCUGCCAUCCACCUGCCUGCAUGGCAACAGACACCUUUGCCCAUUUUCGGCAUGUUGACCACUGUCAGAAGGCAACAAAAUUUCUUGUUUUUUUUCCAAAAUCAGGCGAAAAUUAAUGCGCGUGCGGAUGUCAUCCAUAAAAUUUACUUGCUGUGGCCUUAGUAGUUGUAUUUAGAUGCCUGCAAUAUAUAAGUGUAAAGUAAAUCUGUGUGUAUCUUUGUAAAAAAAAAAGGGAGACAAUAUAUUGUCAAGUGCUAAUUUUGUGAAUAAAGCUGUCGAGAUUAAAA